ACACCCAAACUCUCUCUCUCUCUCUCACAUUUUUGGAUAGACGUUUAUGUUACUUUCAUUUUUCUCUGAUUCGUCAAUCCAUAUACAUAAACCACCCUCUAACGAACGGAGAUUUUCAUCUUUCCAAGGAAGAAGACCGUGAGAAAAAAAUUCUGGUCAAGGGUAGUGUGCAAUGCGCAUACGAAAGCAAACUGCUCGUAAGUCCAUUGGAGGAAAGGCUCCCAAGAAGUAACUUGCUACUAUGGUUCUCCAUUGUUAUUGAUUUUUUUUUUUGCUUAUGAAUUCAUCCAUGUAAUAUAUUUUUGUAAUCAAGAUAAUUAAAAGCACCUAUGAUCUUUUUCCCCACAGCCCAUAGAGGAGAAAAACUAAGCUAUUUUUUGUAAUGUUCCCAUCACAAGAUUGAUUGGUUUAGCUGACAGGAGGGGUGUGUUAC